CAUAAGAUGCAGUCUUGCUUAUGUGAGUUCUGUUUGAAGAUUUUUCUUUAUAUAGAGGGCAUUAAUAAAUUUCUGAUCAAAAAAGGACACAGAGAGCUGACAUUAAUAAAUCCAGCUUCAUCACUUGACUUAACUCUAUGCCCAAGAACUAAUGCCAAUUGUUUUCAUAAGCUGCAGUGCAUUGAAAGAUCAUGUAGCAACUGUGGUGUGGAUUUAAUUAACAAGUAUUGAGCCUUUAAAAAAUUGCACGGAUGAAUUAGCAGAGUGGAGUAUAGUAUGUGGUCAAAGAUGACGGCUGAGUAUGUUCAGAGUGAUGGUACACUGCAAAAGGUAUCAAAGUGGCGACCAGUAAAUAAAGAAGGAUCUUUCAAUGACCUAGUGAGAGGUAUUACACCUAACACUAUUGCUUACAGAAAUAGAAGCUGUUUCUGCUAUCCAUGCAGAAAUUCAUAUGGCAGUCAGUGCCUGCAUGAUGAAAUAUGUGGCUCUUGGAAGGUGUUCAAACUUCAGAAACAAAAUGUAGUGCAAUCUUAGUCAAAUCUUGAAGACUCUUUGGAUGUCAGUCCCAUAUGCUCAAAUUCAAAGGCCCAAACAAUUUCCUUCACUCAUCAAAAGUACAUUGUAAAUAGCUGUUUGAUUGUCAAGUAUGGGGAAAUAUUCUAUCCAGGAGUUGUGAUAGAAGUCCUGGAUGAUCAGCGCAGAAAUAAUUUUUUAAAAAGGCACAGAAAUAAAAGAAAUAUAUUUGUAUAUCCAGAAGUGCAGGGCAUACAGUUAGUGUAUGCAGACAUGAUUGUUACUGAAGUGAUGUUGAUACUAAUGGCAAUAGUUUGAGAGUGGAAUGUUUUGAUUUCUGAAUUUGUCAAAUAAAAUUUGUGUACAGUU